AGGAACUCAAGGCGUGGACGCUUUGAACCAAAGUCCGCUUAAAAGAUCGCGAGAUUUCGGGGUAGUGCUGGCUUCCCAUUGGCUGAGUUUGGACAGUUCCCAUUGGCUGGAAUUGUUGCUGGGUGGGGAGAAAUCACCCUCCUCCUGAAAUUGUAGAGACACCCUCCAGCUAAGAAUGCGAGCAGUGAAACCAAGGCACUAUUAUUACAAUAAACCUGAGGCGCCUACAAUGUGUCGAAUACCGGGGAGACGGCGACUGAGACAAGAUUCUUUCUGUCCAGGACCUCCGAGUCUCCAAGAUCUAAGAAGCGAGAUCUUACCUCUCUGUUGGGGACAUCAUUAAGCUGUUCUGGGGAUUAAAUGAGGCUACGUGCAGAACCUGGUCCAAAGUUACAGCUCAGGUGUAACUACGAGAAAGCUUAAAAUCGCACACGUGGCCCCCAUUACAUUUCUGUUGAACGAUGCUAUUCCGGAGCAAUGGUUUCCAAAUGGGAAGGAUUUUCCACCCUCUCCCAUAACUGUGCAGACAUAAGCACAGUUUCCUUUCAGCCCUGAAUCUGCCGUCACUGUAGAAGUCUGAACUUGCAGGACCAAUCGUUGAGACAUUUUUAGGCACCAAGCCUUGGAAUUCACGGAGCUGCUUUCCCCUCCCCCUGUGGUGUCUAGAUUCCUUUGCAUAGUUUAAAUAGCUGAGAUUGCCAUACACCUAGACUUAAGUCACAUUUUGGAGCUCACAGUUCUCUUUGGGGUGUGUGUCUGUGUGUGUUAAUAUAAUUUAGUUUUUAAAAUAUGAGUACAGUUAAGUUACAGUGUGGUGUUAGUUUCUGGUAUAUAGCACAGCAAUUCAGAUAGAGUACAUGGGAAUAUAGUUUCCUGUGCUCAACAGUAGGACCUGGUUGUUUACUCUAUAUAUA